rnacentral:piRNA from 1 species
UAAUUAAGCUCUCAAUUAGCACAGUCCUGCCC